rnacentral:rRNA from 1 species
CGGACGGGUGAGUAAUACUUAGGAAUCUACCUAGUAGUGGGGGAUAGCACGGGGAAACUCGUAUUAAUACCGCAUACGACCUACGGGAGAAAGGGGGCAGUUUACUGCUCUCGCUAUUAGAUGAGCCUAAGUCGGAUUAGCUAGAUGGUGGGGUAAAGGCCUACCAUGGCGACGAUCUGUAGCUGGUCUGAGAGGAUGAUCAGCCACACCGGGACUGAGACACGGCCCGGACUCCUACGGGAGGCAGCAGUGGGGAAUAUUGGACAAUGGGGGAAACCCUGAUCCAACCAUGCCGCGUGUGUGAAGAAGGCCUUUUGGUUGUAAAGCACUUUAAGCAGUGAAGAAGACUCUUCGGUUAAUACCCGGAGACGAUGACAUUAGCUGCAGAAUAAGCACCGGCUAACUCUGUGCCAGCAGCCGCGGUAAUACAGAGGGUGCAAGCGUUAAUCGGAAUUACUGGGCGUAAAGCGAGCGUAGGUGGCUUGAUAAGUCAGAUGUGAAAUCCCCGGGCUUAACCUGGGAACUGCAUCUGAAACUGUUAGGCUAGAGUAGGUGAGAGGGAAGUAGAAUUUCGGGUGUAGCGGUGAAAUGCGUAGAGAUCUGAAGGAAUACCGAUGGCGAAGGCAGCUUCCUGGCAUCAUACUGACACUGAGGCUCGAAAGCGUGGGUAGCAAACAGGAUUAGAUACCCUGGUAGUCCACGCCGUAAACGAUGUCUACUAGUCGUUGGGUCCCUUGAGGACUUAGUGACGCAGCUAACGCAAUAAGUAGACCGCCUGGGGAGUACGGCCGCAAGGUUAAA